GAAAACCUUUUGUUGAAAAACGAAAAAGACAAGCUGACAAACCUCUCCAGAUCCCUAUACCAUGUUUCCAGCACAGACAACUUUGAUUGUGUCACUGGGCAUGACCUGUUCAUACUAAAUUAUGACAUGCUUGAGCAGCACAUGAAAAAGGGAUCAUUCUAUCUGGGUAGCAAGAUCUUCUUGGAAGAUGGAAUCUGCAGCAUCCCAUUCUCAUGGAAUUGCACAAGCAAUGUAACUUUCCCUGAGGGCAGAAAUGACACAUCUACAAUGUAAAGGGACAACCACUUGUUCCCUCGUACAAUUGCGACACAGUAGUCACGCCACAAAAUGUCUCACCAAGUGUAAAAUGGAAGUGGUAUGAAACUCAUAUAUCUUUAACUGUUAAUAGGGUUGAGAAACUCCUUCAUUCCCAAACUGCAUUUGUUAAGUGUCUCCCAUAGGGGGCAUAACAGUAACAUAACUCC